UACAGAGGUCUCAAGCGUUGUUCGGAUUCAUUGGGCGUAAAGGGUGCGUAGGCGGCGCGGUAAGUCGGGUGUGAAAUCUCGGAGCUUAACUCCGAAACUGCAUUCGAUACUGCCGUGCUUGAGGACUGGAGAGGAGACUGGAAUUUACGGUGUAGCGGUGAAAUGCGUAGAUAUCGUAAGGAAGACCAGUGACGAAGGCGGGUCUCUGGACAGUUCCUGACGCUGAGGCACGAAGGCCAGGGGAGCAAACGGG
rnacentral:rRNA from 1 species